AACGCACAUUGCGCCCGCCAGUAUUCUGGCGGGCAUGCCUGUUCGAGCGUCAUUUCAACCCUCAAGCUCCAAGGCUUGGUGUUGGGGAUCAGCCGCCGCAGCGCCUUACGGCGCCGCAGGCUGUCCCCUAAAUACAGUGGCGGUCACGCCGCAGCAUCCUCUGCGUAGUAGCACAACCUCGCACCGGAUCGCAGCGCGACCACGCCGUAAAACCCCAUCUCUGAAAUGUUGACCUCGGAUCAGGUAGGAAUACCCGCUGAACUUAA
rnacentral:misc_RNA from 1 species